rnacentral:lncRNA from 1 species
UGGAUUUGAUAAUAUGAUCUUAUGAUUCUCUCCUACUCCUUUCCCUAUUCCAAUAAGGAAAGAAAGUUUUAAAUAUGUAAAAGAAAACAGUUUUUUUAAGAAAUUAAUCAAGAAAAAAAAAAUCAAGGCUUUUGCUAUGCAAAAAGAGAAAGAGUUUCUCUCAACUACCUCUAAACUUUUUCCCAUCCUAAUUGGUUCCACCAAUCUCAUCCCACAUGAUAGAAAGGUUUUCGACGGGUGGUGUCCCCAAUUUGGUAGUUUGUAGAUUUGGAGACGUCAACGAAAGUAAGUUCUUUGUAUCUUUUAAACAAAAAACAUGCUUAGUUUUUAUUUAGAAUUUUGAUUCUAAGUUUUGUCAAUGUACUGGUAUUUUGGGAUUCCCAAAUUAAAUUGAGCAAUGGUUCGGUAGAACCUUCCACUGCCACGGGGCUUUUAUCCCUUCUCGAACAUCCUCAUGUCUGGAUGUCCUCGCAUUGUUCUUUCCCUUCUUAGGUUGCACAACGUCUAUGAACCCUUGUUUGUCAGACAUUAGCCUUGGUUCUAACAGACUCAUUCUUUCAAAUUUUUUGCCUAAUUAUUCCCACUACAACCUCCAAGCGGUCAACCUCCUUAUUUUCGGCAACCUUGCUUCUUGUUGCCACACUUUCAACUUGCUCGGUCAGUUCCGUGACCACUUCAUUUUUCUUUUGCUUGACGAAUUGGAUUUCUACCAAUUUUAUCCUAGUCUCUACCGGAGACUCUACGUUUUUUUUUUCUUUUCCUUAAACGCCUAGUGAAGACGGUCGUCCUCUUCGUGACCUUUUCCUUUGUUUCUUCUUGCUUCCUCUAUCAUAUGCAUUUUGCUCACACAUUCUCUUUUUCUUCUCUCCUCAUCUUCUCUUAUCGUCUAUCUUUCUUUUCAUAGGACUCGUUUCUCAUUUUUCCUUCUUUCUUCUUCUUUUCUUCUGUACCAAGCUCUUGGAGAAACUUACACAUGAUCAAAGUAUUUGGCACAUGAUCAAAGUAUUUGGCUAGCACUUCAAUCUCAUUUGUCUCACUAGGCUUGUCUACUCCCAAAAUUACUUUAUCGACACCAUACUUCACGCGUUUAUAACUUGGCUAAUCAUCAUCAAGCCUCAUUGUACUCACCUUAGGCUCUAAGUCAACCCUUGAUAAAUGCUUUUUUCUCACCUAAACCAUUCAUCUACUUCAAGAUCAGUGUUCAUGACGCUAACUUUAGGUCUCUAAGCUUGCUCCAAAUCACGUGUAACAGAGCGCGAGUGAGAUAAAGAUUCAUACGUUUGUGGUGUAAUGGUGAUCUUUCCAAAACCCCCAAUUUUGUGUUUUUAGGUUGGACUUUCGUGGUGUUUGGACAAUUUUGAUCUUUGGGCUGACAAAUCUUAGGACGAACCGUCCUUUCUUGAGAUAAAAUUGGAGUGAAGUGGAGUGACUUUUUUUUUUUUUUUUUUUUGUCGAUCGGUCGUAGAACUUGAUAGGUUAAUGAUGAAGUUCAUAGUGAGUUGAUGAGUUUUCAUAUGAUCUUAGAGUUUGAGAGAGAAAUUUUCACAUGAAAGUCUAAGGGUUCUGUAAGAUGUCUAGAGGGAUUUUUCUUUUAUAUUUUUAAGUGAGGUAGUCGUCAUUACAUAGGUCAGAUCAAUUAAUGAGUCUGACAUAAGGUCAAUGAGUCUUUUCGAAGACCAAAAUGACUAUUGGAAUGAUGAUGAUGCUUCGUAAACCUCACACGCCUCAUAUUUCCCCCUAGGCGAUUCAAAAUUUUGGGUUGGAAAAUUUUGCUACCUUGUUGCCUAUUUACAUCCCCGCUUGUACUUUCAUCUCGUUCCUCGUAAUGCUCUUCCCACAUAUCCCCAAAGGCACAAAACAUUCUAAGCUAAACUAAACUAAAAAGCGGUAAAGAAAGCAAUAGAGGAAAGCGAUAAAUGAAAGUAGUAAAAUUCAAGAAAAUAAAUAAAUAAAAUAACAAAGAUAAAAGAAAGAAAAACAAAACAAUAAAGAUGCACAAAAUGAUGUGUUUUGCAUAAUGAAUUGAUCAUGCAAUACAAUACGAAAGCAUUAAUGCGUUUCAAGGUAAUUUUCUUCAAACACAGACUUGACUUUUUCCAUUCUAUUUCUAGGCUUCCUUUACCAACCUUCCAUACUCUGUUUCAGCCAAUGGCGAGGAGGGUUCUUCCUCGCUUCCAUUUUCUAAUACUUCCUCUCCCUCUAUUUCUUUCCCUUUUUCUUUGUCUUUAUUUUCCAUUUUUAUCUUCUUCAUUUUUUUCUAAUUGUUCUUUCUUUUCUCUCUCCUUAUCUAGCUGCUCUUUCCUUGCUUUUUUAUCAUCUUCCUUUUGUCUCUUUUCAGCUUCUUCCAUUAACCUUUCUCUUCUCUGGUUUUCUUCAAGGAAUAAACCGAGCAUAACCUCAAUGUCAUCGGUGGUUAUGGGUAUUUCCCUUCCAUUGAAGUUGAAGGAAUUAAAGCCCUCUAUUCCAAAGAUUUCACUUGAACAGGACAAGGUUGCACCCUCAUUGUACGGUAAAGGGUUAACCUGGGCUUGCUCCGACACAUGACCAUCUCUUUCAGAUGAACUCCCCAUGUUUCUCACCUCUUGUUUAUUAGAUUGCUUGCUAGACUUUUCUUCGACCAUUUGUUUGAAAAGAAUCGAAGGAAAAUAGAAUAAAGAAUCUAAGGAAUUGAAGCUUACUUGUUCACUGGAGAAUAUGAUUGGACAGCUUAAGGGUGUUGGAGAGAUCGACCAUUUGUUCUCAAUGCAUGGCUUAAUUAUUAUUAAAUGAAUUUGAGAUAUACACAAUGACGGUUUACAAUAUUUCCCAGGACCCUACUAAUUACAAUUGAAGCUUUUCACUCUAUCUUGAAGGAAAACCGAAACACCUAGUGUAUACCUUCUUGCCAGAUUUCCUUAUCGCUAAAACUCUGCUUUCAUAGCUUAAGUUUGCAUGAUAAAACCCGCGCUCCCUAACUUGGAAAGAAUUUGAAAUUAAACUAUCAAAAUAAUUUAUCAACUUACAAAUUACAAGAUACCAUAUACUUUUUGCACACGAUACCAUAUACCACUCUUUAUUUUGCCAACAAACGAUGGACUCAAAGGAAAGAAAUAACUCAAAAGGCAACACAACGAGAUACCAUAUACUUUUUUUGGAAUUCAAUCCAGCUCUCAAAACCUAUCAGAGCAUUUACAAACAGAACCAAAACAAACCUAACAAAAGGGCUCUCUUAAAUCUAUCGUAGAAUAUUUAUUAUUAUUUCAUAGUUUAAUAAUUACACAGAUUAUUAUGGGUUUCUCCAUAUGCGAUUGAUAUACAAACACUUCUAAUCACAGUUAAAUCACUAUCAUGUGAAGAAAAAAAAGGAAAGGAUAGUAAAAGAAAAGAAAUGUUAAAUGAAAGGAUAGGAAAGGAAAGGAAAGGAAAACACUUUUACUGAAAGUUUUUCAACUUUUUAAGUGUUAUAUGGCUUGCUCUAUGAGAUUUAGAUCGGGGGAUUAAAAUAAAAUAUUGUGCAAUCAACUAGGCUCUGAUUUUGGACUAAAAUUCUUGAGAAACUCAGUGUAAUCAUUCAUCUUUUGCUCAAACCAUUUACCUUCUAAGUCGCCAUUGAAGUAUCCGACAGUGAACCUUAAUUCUACUACAAAUUUUGAACCUUUUAACUUAAACUAGUAAACCUUUCUUUAACUAAUUUUUCCUUCACAAACUAUUUGUUGUAUUACUUGCCGACUACUUGGGAUUUUUGGUAAUAUAUUAAAUUUUAAUAUCUUGAUUCUUGUAUUCCAGUCUGACAAUCUUAUUUCACAAUCUUAUUUCCACAAAAGGAUCUAAAAUAAGAAUGCAAAGAAUCCAAUCCAAACAACAACAAAUCUAAAAAAUCAUCAGCAAAAAAUCUGAAAACCUUAAUUUUAAGGGAGAUGGACAUCGGCAGGAGACAGAUCAAUCAAAAAAUAGAGGAACAGAGGUGAAAGAGGAACGAAGAACAAAUACAUAUCUUUAGCCAAAGAACGAAGGUGAAAGAGAAAUGAGAGUCGAUGAAAAGAGAGAAGAGCCACCAGAGAGGAACGCCCUGGUUGAAGAAGAACAAAAGGGAACAGAGAGCCACCAAAGAGGAACACCCUAGCUGGAAAACGGUGUAGCCGGAGAAGAGAGAAAACAAUGGAGAAUAAAAAAUCGUGAAGAAGAAUGAAAGUGAGGAAGAGAAGUAAAAAACUGAAGAUGAAAAUAGAAACGAAGAGAAAUUUUUGGGAAUGGAAUAGAAAAACUAGUUUUAAUUAUUCCCACUAAUUCUCGAGUAAAAAAAACAGAUGUUUCUAAUAAUUUUGGGUACGUGAAAGAGUAAACGUUACCAAAUACAUCUAUUUCCUAUAAUACAAGAAACAGAAACAAAAAACGGAAGCGUUACCAAAUAGACCCUAAACUAUUUAACGACACUACACUUCGGAAAAAGUAUCGUUAAAUAUGCUUAGAUGACACCAAGAUUGUGUCAUUGAUACCCUUACGCUGACGUAAUAAAUAUUACAUCAUUAUCUAUACCUCAACACCAAAAUGUUGUCAUCAAUACCCUUAUAUUAUCGUUUUAAAUGUGUAACCAUUAUCUAUAACUCGACACCAAUAUAAUGUCAUUAAUACUCUUAUAUUUAUGCUUUAAAUGUGUCACAUUUAUCUAUAACUCGACAUAAAAAAAUGUCAUUUUUUUCAUUAUUCACGACACUUAUUUCGUGUCAUAUUUAAAUAUUUCAUUACACAUAAUUCUUGUCAAGAAAUGUGCUAUACGACACUGUUCCUAUUUAAUAAAUGCUUAUAUGUCAACACUUGUUUAGUGUCGUUAUUUUUCACAACACAUAUUUUCUGUCAUAUAUUUACUUAUUUCGACAUUUUAACUACAGUGAAAAAAUAAAAUACAUGAUUCACAUAUAUGCUUAGAAAGAUCUUUAUAUCAUUGAUAAUAGAAUAUAUAAAUUACAUUGUCGGUAAAGGUUUUACAAUAAUCGAAAAGAUAAAUUAUGAACUACCUUCAAAUUUGUCGAAAAUGAACCUAGCUUAGUCAACAUUGAUUAAGUACAUGUCAAACAAAUUUCACUUUCUUAACAAGUAGACAAAUAAACUUUCUUCAUGGUAUAAUACAUAGUACAUAGUACAAACAAAUCUUUAUUAACGUAUAAUACAUAGUACAUAGUACAAACAAAUCUUUAUUAACGUAUAAUACAUAGUACAAACAAAUCUUUAUUAACGUAUAAUACAUAGUACAAAACAUUAUUCAUGCUGAAAAGAGAUGUUCUUACCUUGACAAUAGCCUUAAAACUCAUUCGAUCAUGAUGAAACAAGUGGCAACUACAAAUCCAAACUAUAAUUACAAUACCCUUUUUAGAAACAAAUUAUCUCAGGCACUAUAAAGGCUGUCAAACUUUUCUUAAAGUGAAUGCACACAGCUUCAUGUAUGGGUACAUGUCAACUUUGAUUAAAGUAAUAUAGAUUUACUUCAUCAUGUAAGAACAGUGUGCAACAUCUUGCUAAACCACAAGGCACCAUUUUUCUUUAUUUCUUUCUUAGACAAGAGAAGACACAUUAACAAAACAAAAGUUAAAAGUAAACAAUCUAAUAAUUAACGAAUUACCAAGUUUACGACGACAUCCUUUCGAGUAACUAAUUACCUUCAAAAUUCAUAAUCACCUAACAUCACACAUAUAUACCUAUAAAUAAGUCACACAUACCUACAAAACCCUCUAUGACAGCCCUCGAUCUCUUCUCAUCCAUUGUCAAGCACUAAGGACAAGAAAAUAGCAACAUUUAUAAAACAUAAGUUAACAAACAAAAUAUCAUAGAAAACUAAAAUCUAAAAAAAACAUUGAGGUUGAUCAUGGCACUAGUACCGCCCAUAAUGUAAUAUCAACUCUAACUACAACUGAAAAUAUCAAGUGUUUAUCUCACGGGUCCAAUCAAAAGAAGCACACAAAGAACGCACGCAGUUGCUUUCAAAUUAUACCACCAUACUUGGUUUUCCACUCUCAAACCUUCACAAAAAUUUUGAUGAAACCAUUUAGUAAAAUGGAUAGUGAGAACCAGCUUAAUAAUAAAAAGUGGAAGAUCCCAUUGAACAUGGAGAUUGAAGAACUGUACCUGCAACUUGAAGUCAGAAAAAGAAAGAUUAUGUAAUUAAACAUUGAGGAUUUUGACCUUAUAUAACAACCAUUAUUAAUAAUACAUGAACUGUAAAUGCAGAGCAAAUAAUCAGUUAAACGCACACUCAAUAGUUUCUCAAUAGUUUCUAGUAAUGGAUUGGUUCAUCACAUGUCAAGUUACUGUGUAAAUGGCGGUGUGAAGUAUAACCAUCUUCCAAAGUGUUCCACUACCUAACUCGACCUUCAAAUGACUGACCUGUGAUAUCUUGUUUUUCUGUUUUUGAUGGGGAAACUUCAGAACUGCCAUUGCUAGGUGCUGAAGAUCUGAAAAGGAAAUUUUUUUUUCAUUUUAUGGACUCUAUAUUGGACUUACUUUAAACUGGCGAAGUCUAUGGCCCUUGUCCUCUGCUUUUCAGUACCAAACCUACCACACAUUAAAAACAAUUCACUGUUGAUGGAUACAAAGAAAAGAAUCAUAGUAGCAACACAUUCCAUAAUACGCAGUACAUAAAUUAUGAGAGAGAAGUCAAGCUGA